rnacentral:rRNA from 1 species
GAUGAACGCUGGCGGCGUGCCUAAUACAUGCAAGUCGAGCGAACGGACGAGAAGCUUGCUUCUCUGAUGUUAGCGGCGGACGGGUGAGUAACACGUGGAUAACCUACCUAUAAGACUGGGAUAACUUCGGGAAACCGGAUCUAAUACCGGAUAAUAUUUUGAACCGCAGGGUUCAAAAGUGAAAGACGUUCUUGCUGUCCCUUAUAGAUGGAUCCGCGCUGGAUUAGCUAGUUGGUAAGGUAACGGCUUACCAAGGCAACGAUGCAUAGCUGACCUGAGAGGGUGAUCGGCCACACUGGAACUGAGACACGGUCCAGACUCCUACGGGAGGCAGCAGUAGGGAAUAUUCGGCAAUGGGCGAAAGCCUGACGGAGCAACGCCGCGUGAGUGAUGAAGGUCUUCGGAUCGUAAAACACUGUUAUUAGGGAAGAACAUCUGUGUAAGUAACUGUGCACAUCUUGACGGUACCUACUGAGAAAGCAACGGCUAACUACGUG